rnacentral:rRNA from 1 species
UACGUAGGGUGCGAGCGUUAAUCGGAAUUACUGGGCGUAAAGCGUGCGCAGGCGGUUAUGCAAGACAGAUGUGAAAUCCCCGGGCUCAACCUGGGAACUGCAUUUGUGACUGCAUGGCUAGAGUGCGGCAGAGGGGGAUGGAAUUCCGCGUGUAGCAGUGAAAUGCGUAGAGAUGCGGAGGAACACCGAUGGCGAAGGCAGCCCCCUGGGCCAACACUGACGCUCAGGCACGAAAGCGUGGGGAGCAAACAGG